AAUAGAUACCCUGGUAGUCCACGCCGUAAACGAUGUCGACUUGGAGGUUGUGCCCUUGAGGCGUGGCUUCCGGAGCUAACGCGUUAAGUCGACCGCCUGGGGAGUACGGCCGCAAGGUUAAAACUCAAAUGAAUUGACGGGGGGCCCGCACAAGCGGUGGAGCAUGUGGUUUAAUUCGAUGCAACGCGAAGAACCUUACCUGGCCUUGACAUCCACAGAAUUCUGCAGAGAUGCGGAAGUGCCUUCGGGAACUGUGAGACAGGUGCUGCAUGGCUGUCGUCAGCUCGUGUUGUGAAUGUUGGGUUAAGUCCGCAACGAGCGCAACCCUUAUCCUUUGUUGCCAGCGGUCCGGCCGGGAACUCAAAGGAGACUGCCAGUGAUAAACUGGAGGAAGGUGGGGAUGACGUCAAGUCAUCAUGGCCCUUACGACCAGGGCUACACACGUGCUACAAUGGCGCAUACAAAGAGAAGCGACCCCGCGAGGGCAAGCGGACCUCAUAAAGUGCGUCGUAGUCCGGA
rnacentral:rRNA from 1 species